rnacentral:rRNA from 1 species
UGGGAAUAUUGGACAAUGGGAGAAAUCCUGAUCCAGCUACCCCGCGUGAGUGAUGAAGGCCUUCGGGUCGUAAAGCUCUUUUAGUAGGGACGAAGGGAAACUUGACGGUACCUACAGAAAAAGCACCGGCUAACUCUGUGCCAGCAGCCGCGGUAAUACAGAGGGUGCAAGCGUUGUUCGGAAUCAUUGGGCGUAAAGCGCGUGUAGGCGGCCAUUUAAGUCCGGUGUGAAAGCCCAGAGCUUAACUUUGGAAGUGCACUGGAUACUGAAUGGCUAGAGGGUGAGAGAGGAGAUUGGAAUUCAUGGUGUAGGGGUGAAAUCCAGAGAUAUCAUGAGGAACAUCAGUGGCGAAGGCGAAUCUCUGGCUCAUUUCUGACGCUGAGACGCGAAAGCGUGGGGAGCAAAC